CUCUUCCAAAUGACGUCAGGGAGCUGAAACCCAAUCAGGAGGUCUACCAUGAUCAAAAGAUGGUCGGCAUUUCGGGUCAUAAGAAAACCCCUAAAUUAGUAGUUACUCGCCUGUCCAAAUAACAUUUCAGUCCAUGAUAAUAAUUCAAUGGUUUCCUUGUCUACAGUUUCAGGUCACUAAAGAACUCAUCAUGAACUGCAAACCUAUCAUAGAUCGCAUUCGCAGUACCUUUCCAGACCAGAAGAAGUACAAGUAUCAGGUCAUGGGGAAGGAGGUACAUUUCAAAUUGCUUCACAAUGACGUAGCUGAGGCGGAUCGCAUAUUUGAUGACGUUCGUAAAUGACCAAGGAAGUUCAUCUGCAUAAACGAUGACCUUGACCACACCCAAAGCACUGCUCAGCAAGUGCAAACAAAGUUGGUGAAAUUUUACCAAUCCAUGUUCCCGCGGCCGUCCCAGUUUGAGCUCCCCAAAGGCACGUCCAACAGGUUCCUGCACAUGGAUGAGCAUCUUUAAGGGAUUGGGUUAGGUG